rnacentral:rRNA from 1 species
AGCGAACGCUGGCGGCAGGCCUAACACAUGCAAGUCGAACGGACCCUUCGGGGUUAGUGGCGGACGGGUGAGUAACACGUGGGAACGUGCCUUUAGGUUCGGAAUAGCUCCUGGAAACGGGUGGUAAUGCCGAAUGUGCCCUUCGGGGGAAAGAUUUAUCGCCUUUAGAGCGGCCCGCGUCUGAUUAGCUAGUUGGUGAGGUAACGGCUCACCAAGGCGACGAUCAGUAGCUGGUCUGAGAGGAUGACCAGCCACACUGGGACUGAGACACGGCCCAGACUCCUACGGGAGGCAGCAGUGGGGAAUCUCGCGCAAUGGGCGAAAGCCUGACGCAGCCAUGCCGCGUGAAUGAUGAAGGUCUUAGGAUUGUAAAAUUCUUUCACCGGGGACGAUAAUGACGGUACCCGGAGAAGAAGCCCCGGCUAACUUCGUG